UCCCUGGCAGUCCAGUGGUUAGGACUUGGCACUUUCACUGCAAAAGCCAGGGUUUGAUCCCUGGUUGGGGAA
rnacentral:tRNA from 1 species